UAUUGAUUUUGCACCUUCUAACAUCUCGAGACGAUAAUUUGCUCGUCACGUUCCUUCGCUGCUCUUUCCUGGAUUCUUGUUUGGCCAAUGACAAA